UGUGAAGCGGAUCAGCAGUCCUUCUUUGAAUUGUUGCCAUGAAAGGACUCCAUAAGUAUGUUCAAACCAGUCAAACCACUGUAUAGCAUCCCCUUCAAGAUGUAUAGCUGCAAUUUUCACCAUAGAUGCAUCCGCGGUUUUGUGGUACUGAAAAUAUCGCUCCGCGCGCGAGAUCCAACCAAUCAGGUCUCCUUCUUCCCAUCUAGGGAAGUCCACUCUCAUGCAUGGAUAGUUGGGUUUAGUCAUAG
rnacentral:lncRNA from 1 species